GCAGCACGCUGGCUCCCCAGCCCUGCAUGGCAGCUAUUGCCAGGUUCAGGGGCAGCAGGACCCUGCCCUGAAUGAGAAAACCUCUCAGAGGACUCAACUGUCUCAUGAAUCAGGGCUUUUUCCCUUUUCCUUUUCUUGUUUAAUCUCAAUUCACAGCUCUCCACCGCCUCAGAGCUGAGCCGACCUUGCCCCAGGCCGCAUCUCAAGCCGGAAACACCAUGCAGCUUGGCAAGGACAAGAUGUGAUAAUGCUGAAGAGUGCUCAGACAGUGAACUGUGAAACUGUGGUGGUGUCUGCUGAGGAAAACCUACAAGCUAUCAAGAAAGGUGCUGGAUGUUUCACAAUACAAUCUAUCAACUAUCCAAGCUAAAUGCUUAUAUUUAUAGGGUUUUUUCCCUUGUAAUUCCAUGCCAUCUAAGCCUUACAGUAGGCCACCUGGCCAGUGUGAGCAUACAGGUUAAUUUCUAGGUAAUAUAUUAUUCUAUAUAAUAAAAACAAGUUGUCUGGUUGUUUUUA